GGGUCUGUGGUCUAGGGGUAUGACACUCCCUUAGCAUCGAGCUGCUCAAAAGCUAUGCUCUGAUGUGGGAGAGGUCCCGAGCUCGAUUCUUGGCGGAUCCA